UGAGGACUCGUGCUACUGGACGAGGUGGACGACCACCAGUGCCACCCACUGAUGCCACCAGAGGCCGUGGACGCGGUCGUGGGCGUGGCAGAGGUAGAGUAGCAUGGGCAGCACCUGUUAAUCCACCAGCUGCCCCAGUUCCAGAUCAAGCUCCAGCAGCUGUACCAAUUCAAGCACCUGCUAUGCCUAUUGUGAUUCCGGGUCUUCAGGAGACCUUGGCUCAAAUUUUGACAGUUUGCACUGGCCUAGCUCAAGCGGUCUAAGCCACUACAGCUGAGAUAUGUAUUAGAGAUCCAAAGAAGAGAGUUUUCUUUGCAGGCCACCUCUCUGUUCCUCUCUUACUCUGUUCUUUUACAUAGUUACAUGAUUAUUUUUACUUCAGGUCUUUAUAAUUAAUGUUUCUUUGUCAUCAUUCUUCUCUGUAAUAUAUUCAAAUGUAUUUGUUAGUGUUAGUUCUCAGAAAAUAGUUGGCCUUAAAAAGUUAUUGUUGGUUAGUUAUUGGUAAUUCUUUAACGUAUUCAUUGGCUAAUUGUUGUUAUGACUUCUUUGACCAAAAGUUGUUGGCUAUAUCUGAUGAGUUCAUACCUAUACACUAAUUUAUUUUCUCAUUACCCUGUAAAUAAAAUAUAUUUUUUCCCUCAGCAUAUAGAAACCACUUAUACGAUAUCAUUAUUGACAUUUUUAUAUUUUGGUUUGUUCUGUUUUAAUUACAGGUUUUUCUCUUUGUUGUGUUAUAAUAGCUAUCUGUUCGUGCUGUUUAGUAGCAAAUCACUGGUGAUUAAUUCCAAUAUGGGUGAAAGGUUAACUAUCAAUGCAAUCACUCCCAAAACGGAAGAAUGGACUUGUAAGAUCCAAGUAGUUGAUAAAGGUUGUCCCAAAGACAACAAAGAGAAAACCAAAAAAUAUCAACUCAUGACAUUACAGGAUGAAGAGGAAAAUCAAGUCCAAGCAAUCAUGUUCAAUGCUGAUAUAACACAUUUUGAAGAUUUAUUUGAUCCUUUCCAUACUUACUUGGUGUCAGUUGCACAAGUGAAGGAGAUCUUAUUUGUAUGGAAAUCCAAUUAACAUUUUCACUUGGACAAUUGAUAGAAGCACCAUUGUCGAGCCAAUUGAAAAGGUCACUCCUCCAGAGGAUCCAUUACCGCCGCCAACGCGGCUAACUCUUACCGCAUUUGACACCUUUGAGUAUCAAGCCAAAGAAUCUGAAUUUGAUGUCCUUGCUAUUGUGGUUAACGGAGGCCCUUCAACAUAUGCUGCAAAUGGAAGAAGAAUUCAAGAAUUUAUUAUUAUGGAUAAUCAGAAAAAACCAACAAAAUUUACACUGUGGGAAGAUUUUAUUGAUCUUUAUGGGAAUAAACUUUUGAAACAACUUAAUGAAUACCCAGUUAUUCUUGCUAGAAAAAUUGGCAAAUCAUUAUCAGGAGGAUCGUCGAACAAAUUCAAUGGACUUUCAAGCAAAUUUAGUACAACAAUCCAAUUCAAUCCUCCAUAUCCACAAGCUACUGAGUUGAAGUCAUGGGCCAAAACAAUUGAACCAAUGCUUACUGCAUACACGGCGAAGAUACAUCUUCAUCAGGCUCUGUUAUGGUGGUUCCCUUUGAGGAUGAAAUCAUAGCUAUUUCCAAUAUUCAAGCGCAACCUCGGGGACAAGUAUUUUAUGUCGAGGCUGAACUUUCUCUGCCAAAUGAGAACCAACGCUUCUGUGUGUUAGCUUGUUCUGACUGUAAGCAAUUGUUCACGAGAUCUUUCUCUCAGAGAACAAUUUACUGUACAAAUUGUCAGCGGUCCACACAUCUCAUUCCAAGAAACAACUUUUACCCCUUGCAGAUGUGCAAAAGCAAUUGUGCGGAAAAACAUUCAAAAUUCAAAUGAAAAAAUUGUUUACAAGAAGUCAGGAUGCAAUGCAAAAGUUAUCCAUUUUAUCUUACAUGAACAAGGAAAAUGAGAUCCACCAACAGUUUACCCCAACCACGAUGGAUGUUAUCAAAGGGAGCAAACGUAAAAUUGAACGUCUUGGCUUAGAGGAAAGAGAACCUCAAGAUACAACCAAGCGUAGCUUGGAAAUGAAAACUCCUCAUUUGAAAAAAUAAUU